CGCGUAGGCGGUCUAAUCAGUCAGGCGUGAAAGCCCCGGGCUCAACCUGGGAGGUGCGUUUGAUACUGUUAGGCUAGAGGUUGGAAGAGGAGAGCGGAAUUCCCAGUGUAGAGGUGAAAUUCGUAGAUAUUGGGAAGAACACCAGUGGCGAAGGCGGCUCUCUGGUCCAUACCUGACGCUGAGGCGCGAAAGCGUGGGGAGCAAACA
rnacentral:rRNA from 1 species